UACAGAGGGUGCAAGCGUUGUUCGGAAUUAUUGGGCGUAAAGGGCGCGUAGGCGGUGCCACAAGUCACCUGUGAAAUCUCCGGGCUUAACUCGGAGCCUGCAGGCGAAACUGUGGUGCUGGAGUGUGGGAGAGGUGCGUGGAAUUCCCGGUGUAGCGGUGAAAUGCGUAGAUAUCAGGAGGAACACCAAUGGCGAAGGCAGAUCUCUGGGCCGUAACUGACGCUGAGGAGCGAAAGCAUGGGGAGCGAACAGG
rnacentral:rRNA from 1 species